rnacentral:rRNA from 1 species
AACUUUCAACAACGGAUCUCUUGGUUCUGGCAUCGAUGAAGAACGCAGCGAAAUGCGAUAAGUAAUGUGAAUUGCAGAAUUCAGUGAACCAUCGAAUCUUUGAACGCACAUUGCGCCCGCCAGCACUCUGGCGGGCAUGCCAGUCCGAGCGUCAUC